UUCACUCUCUAUCUUCUAUCUAUAUAUCCAUGUCAUUUCUGUCAUUUCUCUCUAAGCUCGUUCCAAGGAAUUUGGCAUCCUCUAUUAAACUAGAUGAUAUUUAUCUAUGAAAGUGAUACAAGCUGAAGCCAGUAUCCAAUGUUUGUAAAACAUCUAUCUGAAGUGCUAUUUCCAUGCUGGUGGACAGGACUUGGAACUUGACAUUGCUCUGGCAUGGAAAAUAUUCUGGGAAGGAAGUUUCAUUAGUGAUUUCUUGAAACCAUCAUUAGUUUAGAGAAGAAGGGAAAAAAAAAAAAAAAACAUAAGCAUAUUAUUCAACCGAAUCUCAAUUCAGAAUAAAACAAAACAGAUUCCAUGACGCCGGUAUCAUGUGUCACCAACCUGUUAUGGAACUUAUUCACUUUAUAAUCCAACACUUUGUAAAGUUCCAACUCACUUUAUAAGAAGUACAGAGGCAAUUCGCUUGAGGAGUACUUGAAGAGUGAUUAAGACAUGUUUAAUCAUGGCACAUCUAUGCAAGAUCCAGGAAACUCAUCAUGUGGGACCUGCUGUGAACAUGCUAUGGCCUAAAAUUGGGCUGGGUACAGUCAUCCGCUGGGAGCCUGGGCCACAUGUAUAUGAGGAAAAUAGGUAGUUAGAAAAGAGAUGACUAAUGCUCUAUAUUCAGUGUUCUGGCCCUUAUGAUUGGAUUGGUUGAUGUUUGGGCCAGAGCAUGUUCACAGGGAACUCCAUCUGAUCAAUUUCCAGGAUCUUUCACAUGUGCCAUGUCAUCACAAGUUCCCAAAUGGCCUUUUGAAUAUCUCCUUGCAUGAAUCAUGUCUUCAUUGCUUUUACAGUAUAGUCGUAUGUAGCAUGUUUUAUUCAGAUCCAUAAUGCUUCAAGUCAACAUGAGUUGGUCACUAAACUGUUCUCUUUUGUGUAAUUAAGCAAGUUGUACUGACACUAAGAAAAGAAGCUUACAAAAACAUGUGGGGAGCAUAUCCCUUGAAGUGUUAGCAUCACCUAGAGAGACAGAAAACACGCCUGGGUGUGAUACCUCUUGAAGUGUCAGCAUCACCUAAAGAGACUUAGAAGCAUGAUUGAGACGUGUUAUGCCCCUUGAGGUGUCCGCAUCACCUAAAGAGACAUAGAUGCAUGAAAGUAUGAGAGUGAACGACAUAUAUAAAUGCCAUUAUGUGUUUUAGAAGUAAUACAGGCAGAAACUGUUAUCAAUACUGAGACACUUGACUUCUUCAGUGAUUAGAUGGAUGACUGAAAAGAAUAUAGGAACAUUAUCGAGGAAUUGACCAAGGCUCAAUCACGAUUGGCUGCUUUGAUGUUGUCGUCACUCCAUGAGAGGAACUCCUGGUGUACUGGGCUUGUGUACAAGGCUACCGUUAGGAACAAUAUCUAAUUACACCUAUGAUCAUCACUAAAUAACACAACCCAACAAUGAUCAAGAAUGAAAAGAAAAAAGAACAAUAACAACUGAAAUUUGAGAAUAAAUUGCAGGUGUGUUUCCUUAUCUCCAGCCUAUCUAUAAUCAAGGAUUUAAAUAAUGGUAUCCACCAUUGUACCGGCCAGAAUAUGGGUCUAUAUCUGCCUAUAUGGUCCUGUAUUGGCCAAUUUUUUGGUCUGAAAAAAAAAAAAAAAAAAAAAACAAAAAAAUGGUGGAAAAAUUGUAAUAAAUGGAAAAUCCUUGUGCGUGCACCUUUGUCCAUGGCAAAUGAACAGGUUGAAUGGUCCAGAUUCCUCAUACACAGCAUUCCAUAAAAAAAAUAAAUCAAGGAUGGGCGUCCCCCUCCCAAUUGUUUGCUUCAAGUAUGGCCUACUUGAAUCACAUAUGGGCCUGAUAUUUUGGGACUUAGGCCUAACAAGUGGUGAUGCAUCUGAUGGUUAGAGCGGAUGUCAUCAUCAAAUAAUGGUCGGGCUAGCCCAAUCUCCUUGCACAAUGCUCCUUUGCCCUGCAUUUCGCAGGGGUGCAUCUUUGUGUGUUAUAAUGCUGUCUGUUGAGUAGCCUGUUUGAGCUUUAAAGCUGAGUAGUCGACUGCCUCUAAUUCAACUAUCAUGAUUCAUGAAUAAUAAUGUAGUAGACAUUUAAUUUAAAUAAGCCAAUAUAUAUUAUUAUGUUUAAAAGACAAGAACUAUAUUGAGCCAAAGGCAAAGGAAAGAGGAAAACAAAAAGAAAAGAAAAAAGAGCCUAAUAGAAGGCAGAAAAACUAAACCACCUAAGAAAUACUAGAGAAAAGGAAAAGCAAAAUAACACAUACAUCAACACAACCAGCAAUGAAAUUGGGGCUAAGCCAAAAGAACCCAGAAAAAGAGAACGCCUGACAAAUCUGUAGCCCAGGUGACUCAUUGCCUUCCUCUCGCUCAAAUUAAAUGGGAUGAAUCAAAUCAAUAAGCCAGCACCGCGGUUCCCUCCAUCUGAUCGAUAGUGAGAGCCAAUACCUCCAUGUGCCUCUACUGUUCGUCCUGGAGCAGCACCGAAGAGAGACUUUUCUUUAGAUAUAGUUAUAGUACACUCAAACCGAGUCUUUUGAUUAGAGUAGGGGUCGUGAGAGAGCGGAGUGUACUGCACUGCCAGAGUCACGAGUGACUCGGAGAGCUCUAACUCUCCUUAUCAAUAUUCUAAUAAAUCUUAUGUAUGGUUAAUGGUCCGUUAAUUGUUUCUUCCUUGUGACAACAAAUUUUUCACAAAAGCUUUGCCAUCGCUGCCAGCAUCAAAGGAAAAAUUCAUACAACGUUCCAGCAUAGUAGCACACCAAGCCAAAGAACCAGUGCUUAGCUAAAAAGUCCUGACGUCCCCAGAGAGUUGUCAACCUGGAUGAGAUUGUCAGGGAUCCCAAUCCCUAAAAAGCACCCUAUUGAAGACUCUAGCAACCAAUAUGCUCAUGUUGUAGAAGCAUCGGUCGUUCCUUUCUCCCUAGAUAGUCCAAAGGGCAGCUAAGAAGAAGAGCAUCCAUUUCCUUCUUCCCAGUCUUCCUCCAUCCAACGCAUGGCAAGAGUAGAAGAGAAUGUCGAUCAACCUACGCGUCGCCCAUUGAAUAUUAGCAAGACCGAGAAUGCCGCUCCAAACUCCCGAUGAAAAGGGGCAAAUGCAUGAAAAGGUGAUCAAUUGUUUUGGCUCUUCAGAGACACAAAAUGCAUGUGCUAGGAAGAAUGAAGCCCAUCUUGUGCAAGUUGUUGACUGUGAGGACUUGACCCAUACCAACGAGCCAACAGAAAGCAACUAUUUUUGGGGGAUCUCCGUAGAACCAAACUUCACUCGUAGGGCUAUAUACUUCUAAGGCUGCUGAUUGAGAGAGAGAAUUGUAGGAGCGCGCAGAGAGGCUCCCCAAUGCCGAGAGUCUCCACAAAGCCUAUCUUCCUCAUCUACAAAGAUUGAAAUGCCCUGCAAUCGAGCCAAAGGAGCGAUCAAGCUAUCAGCCUUGCUACCCCGCAGCCUUCUCCUAAAAAGAGACCAAGAACUAGCUCCAUCACUGGAAUUAAAGCAGGAAGCAGCUGAGAUAUCAAUAUUAGUGCUUACAGCCGCAAGAUCCAGGAAGUCAUCAAUGAGUGGGUUAUCCUCAACGAAAGAAUCAACCCAAAAUCUAAUCCACUGACCACUGCCUAAAGAGAAGCCAAAUCUUUGGAAAACAGAGGAAGCUGAUCUAGCGAUACCUUUCAAGAUAUAGGAGGAACGAUAAAAAGAACUUUUGGUCUACCAUCCCAUGGGGGAAGUACUGUAUUUUGCUGAAAUCAGGGAUCUCCACAAACCAUCCUUAUUAGCAAAACGCCACACCCAUUUUCCAAGAUGAGCCAAAUUGACCAUUUCUAGGCUCUUGAUGUUUGCUCCCCCUACUCUCAAGGGGGAGCAAACCUCCUUCCAAUUUAAUAAUGGAAAUUUUCUCAAAGAGGAUCCACCAUGCUAAAGGAAUUUCCUAAUGAGUUUAUCAAUUUUAUUGCCGACAGAUUUCGGGCAUUGGAAUAGGGACAUAAAAUAGUCGGGAAAAUUCGACAUAGUUGCCUUGAUGAGGGUUAAUCUUCCUCCUAGGUAUCGGAGUUUGCCUCUCUAGGAGGAAAGUUUUCAUUCGAACCUUUCCAAAAUUCAGUCCCAAGGAAAAAGGAGGGGCUUACCUACAAAAGGCAAUCCAAGAUGAAAAGUAGGAAAGGACUCAACUUUGCAACCAGACUUAUCUGCGAAUCUCAAUGUAUCUUCCAUAACUAGGUGAAUUCUCGAAAAUUCACACUUAGUCUUGUUAACCUUCAAACCUGAGAUCACUUCAAAGAAACAAAUUGACAUGCUAAGGAACUCUACCAUACGGUCUUUUGCUUCAUAGAAAAGAAGGGUGCCAUCAGCAAAUUGGAGAUGAUAGAUGCGGGAAAGAAAAUUCUCAACUAAAAACCCUCCGAAUAGCUCUACCUCUUGACCCCAAGAUAGCAUUCUACUCAGGGCUUCGGAAACCAAGAUGAACAAAAAAGGGGACAAAAGGUCCCCUUGACAAAGGCCUCUUGAAGAAUUGAAAAAACCGAAGGGGGGACCCAUUGAUGAGAAUGGAAAAUUUUGUAAAGGAAACACAAGAACGAAUCCACAUUCUCCAUUUUAGACCAAACCCCAUCCGAGACAGCAUAUGGUCCAAAAAAGACCAAUCAACAUGAUCGUAUGCUUUCUCAAGAUCUAACUUACAUAAUACUCCGGGCCUAUCAGACCUAUGGCAGGAGUGGAUGCAUUCAUUAGCGAUUAAAACACUGUCAAGAAUUUGCCUACCUGCCACAAAGGCCCUUUGGAAUGGAGAGAUUACGCUGGGGAUAACUUUAUGUAGUCUCUGGCUGAGGAUCUUUGCUAUGAUUUUAUAGGGAAUGCUGAUUAAACUGAUAGGAUGAAAGUCUUUAAGACUCAAUGCUCCCUCUAGCUUUGGGAUUAAUGCAAUGAAAGUGCAUCCUCACUCCGAAGGGAUGUAAUAACCACAGCGGAAGAAAUCCUCAACAAACAGAAGCAAGUCCUCUUUCAUCCAGUCCCAAAAACUUGAAGAAAAGCUAGAGGGGAACCUAUAUUGUUACAAGUCCAUAACUGACAAUAGUCUCAAGUUACAACUCACAAGACAAUAAGAGAUUAGGAGUUACUUCAAGAUUAAGACUAUAAGUAUAAGCCAAUCUAUUCUACGCCUCUUACUCAUUCAUGUGACAUAACCACAGCGGAAGAAAUCCUCAACAAACAGAAGCAAGUCCUCUUUCAUCAAGUCCCAAAAACUUGAAGAAAAGCUAGAGGGAAACCUAUAUUAUUACAAGUCCAUAACUGACAAUAGUCUCAAGUUACAACUCACAAGACAAUAAGAGAUUAAGAGUUACUUACACCCAGAUCCAUAGCUCAACCGGCAGACUGAGUGGAGAUACCUCGUUUCAACACUUGAGGUCUUGGUAUCGAUCCCUAGCGGGGGUGGCUAACAUGGAGUGUGUACUGACAUGGGUGUGUAUUAACAAGCUAACCCAAAAAAAGAAAAAAGAAAAAAAAAAGAGAUUAAGAGUUACUUCAAGAUUAGGACUAUAAGUAUAAGCCAAUCUAUUCUACGCCUCUUACUCAUUCAUGUGACAUACCUCAUCAAACCCAUAUAAAUGCGAAUCAGAACUUGCUUUUGUACUCCCUAUCUAUAUUUGGCUUUGGGUGUGAGACAAUUUGAUGGAUCAAGGAAUAUGCUGAUGGCUUUUUCUUCGUCUGCUAGAAGAAGAGCUUACACUAAAAAAGCAAGAAAUGAUUGAAUCUCAAAAAUACAAGAAAAUCCCCAAAUAAUCCCACCUUGAACUUUGGCCUAGAGAGAGCUUGGGUGAUGAUCAUAAAAGCAGUACCUUGCUUGAUCGAAUGCUGAAGCGACUUUGUUGUUGAAGAUUAUCCCAUUUUUCUCCUUCCAUAAACCCCACAUUAUACCAGAAGGUAGCAUCC